rnacentral:rRNA from 1 species
GACAGAGGGUGCAACCGUUGUUCGGAAUUACUGGGCGUAAAGCGCGUGUAGGCGGCCAUCUAAGUCGGGCGUGAAAUCCCACGGCUCAACCGUGGAAGUGCACUCGAAACUGGAUGGCUAGAGUCCUGGAGAGGAAGGUGGAAUGCUUGGUGUAGAGGUGAAAUUCGUAGAUAUCGGGAGGAACACCAGUGGCGAAGGCGGCGAUCUGGGAAGAUACUGACGCUGAGGUGCGAAAGCGUGGGGAGCAAACAGG